AGCGGCGGACGGGUGAGGAAUGUAUCGGAACGUGCCCAGUCAUGGGGGAUAACACAGGGAAACUUGUGCUAAUACCGCAUACGCCCUGAGGGGGAAAGUGGGGGACCGCAAGGCCUCACGUGAUUGGAGCGGCCGAUACCCGAUUAGCUAGUUGGUGAGGUAAAGGCUCACCAAGGCUACGAUCGGUAGCUGGUCUUAGAGGACGAUCAGCCACACUGGAACUGAGACACGGUCCAGACUCCUACGGGAGGCAGCAGUGGGGAAUAUUGGACAAUGGGGGCAACCCUGAUCCAGCCAUGCCGCGUGAGUGAAGAAGGCCUUCGGGUUGUAAAGCUCUUUGAGCGGGGAGGAAGGUUCGUUGAUUAAUAAUCAGCGGAAUUGACGUUACCUGCAGAACAAGCACCGGCUAACUCUGUGCCAGCAGCCGCGGUAAUACAGAGGGUGCGAGCGUUAAUCGGAAUUACUGGGCGUAAAGCGUGCGUAGGCGGUUUGAUAAGCUGGAUGUGAAAUCCCCGGGCUUAACCUGGGAACUGCAUUCAGGACUGUUUGACUAGAGUCUGGGAGAGGGUGGUGGAAUUUCCUGUGUAGCGGUGAAAUGCGUAGAUAUAGGAAGGAACAUCAGUGGCGAAGGCGACUGCCUGGCCCAAGACUGACGCUGAGGCACGAAAGCGUGGGUAGCAAACAGGAUUAGAUACCCUGGUAGUCCACGCCGUANACGAUGUCAACUAGC
rnacentral:rRNA from 1 species